AAUGAACGCUGGCGAUAUGCUUAACACAUGCAAGUUGAAUGAAUAAGAUUCAUAGCAAACGGGUGAGUAAGACAUAAGAAUUUUGCCUGCAGCAUCCAUCAAAAUACUAAAAUAUUGAAUGUGGAAUAUUUAAAGGAUGACACCACCUGUAAGGAAGAUGCAGGUGCGAUAUGUUAUCGGCUGUAGAUAAGCUUAUGUAGGAUAGGUAGUUGGAGUGGUAAGGCACACCAAGCCAAUGAUCCUUAGUUGGUUUGAGAGAACGACCAGCCACAUUGGAACUGAGAUACGGUCCAAGCUGGGAUAUCUAGGCAGCAGUGGGGAAUAUUGGACAAUGGACGAAAGUUUGAUCCAGCAAUAUCGC
rnacentral:rRNA from 1 species